CUUCACCCCUACAUCCUGGGGAGGAGAAGGUUUCCUAUUUCUGGUGUUUCAUUUCUCUUCCCUAAAGUAACCCAUAUGGGUCUCUGGUGUCCCGGAGAAUCCUGGUGCGAGUCCUAUCUGCUCUCCUCCGCGGACCAUGGAACUGCUCAGAAGUUCCACCUAUCAGCAUUGAAACUACAUUUCCCAGAAUGCCAUUUUUUUCAGGACAGAGAACAAAAUACCCUAUGUGAAACCAUGUGUCUCCUAUUUUGGGGUUGGAAAAUUUGGUCACUAGCUUGGAUAAAGAUUCGCAUGCCCAUAGGCUAAUUCUUCUGGCCCCAGGCAGACAUGAGUUUCCCAGGCUUCAAAGAUGGGGGAGGGGUGGGGCUAUUGCAGCCAACAAAACCUUCAAUUAGAGGCGUACAGGAACCUGGCGUAUGGCUUGACCCCUGCACAGUAGGUAUAUUUUCGCUCCGCAACAGCCCUCACCACCACCACCGCUUCCCUCUCAUCACUUCCCUUCCUUUUCCCUUCUUCCAGAUUCUUUUAAUUGUACCACUGGGCCACUCCCUUGUUCCCACCCCCACCCCAUGCCCACACCCACGGCUUUAACCGUUUCAUAUAAAAUCCAGCCCACCAGACUGAGGUUUUCUUCGACCCAAAUGUUAUUUUCAGAAGGAGCCAUUGAGGUUGGGGAGUAAUUGCAGCGUUGGGCCUCUGCGAGCCGAGCUGAAAAUAAUCAGCGAGGCAGAUGGGGCGGGAAGAGAGUGCGGUGCCCUUACACCAGAGAGCCAAGAAACCCAGGAGAGUGAGUCAGAGGGAGGCAAGCGCCAGGCUGGGCCUGCCGGGCUUAUGGCUGGGAGUUCAGUUAAGGGGAAACCGCCCAAGGUGUUGGGGCCUUUCACUGAAGCCCAGUCCAAGGUGGUUCCUGGCUGGACAUCACAAGUCCAUAUUUCUUGUGACAGCCGCUAAACUUCUCCUGCUCUUACUCAAUUGGGCCAUAGCAGCCACUGGGCCACAUUGGAACUUGGCCUUGCCAGCUGGCUCCCUGGUCUUCACAGCAGGGUUUCUCAGCUUAGGCACUAUUGACAAGUUGGGCUGGAUAGUUCUUUGUUGUGGGAAGCUGUCCUGUGCAUUGUGGGAUAUUCAGCAGUGUGCCUGGUCUCUACCCUCUUGAUGCCAGUAGCACACACACUCUGUCAUGGUAGUCAAAAAUGCCCCAGACCUACCACAUGGGAAAGUCACCCCUGGUUGAGAGCUGCUGGCCUAGAGUAAUCUACAGAGGGGUCACAUCAUCUAUCCCCAUGGAGGCCUCAUGGGCUUCCGUCACAUCUGAGUAGGUCCAGAUCCAAAGUAUUGACCAAAUGUUAUUGCCAGUGGCAGUUGUUGGAUGCCAGGACAAGUGCCCACUGGGUACCAAGCACCGUACUCAGGAUUAAUAACAAAGCAGAGAAUGAGGCAGAUGUGGCUCUUGUCCUCAUGGAAUGACCAGCUUGUUGGGUAUGUCAGGCAUUCCAAAACCACCUGCGAGAGGCGUGGAAAGGGAACGAUGUGGGACUACAGAAUAUAAAAGAGAAUUUCUGACCCAGAUUAGGUAUUCAAAAAAGGCUCUUGGAAUCCAGGCAUGGCGGCAUAUGCCUCUAAUCCAUCAACUAGGGAGACUGCACGUUCAAGGCCCGCCUCAGCAGUUUAGCAAGGCCCUAAGCCACUUAGUGAGACUCUGCCUCAAAAUAAAAAGAACUGGGAUGUAGCUCAGUGGUUAAGGGCCUGUGGGUUCAAUCCCCUGUUAGUGCCCCCCACCCAAAAAAAGAGGCUCUUGGAGGAAAUGAGAAAUUAGUCAAUGGAUACUCAAGGGUGGGGACAGACCAGGGACAGUGUUCAGACACCUUGAAUGAAGUGUGCCAUAUUUUAAGUAUCCCAAAGAAGUUUGUUAUGGACCAGGGUUAGGACAAUGGAGAAGCAUUUUCUCCCCUCAUCCCCAAAAUUUGCAUUUCCUGUCCUCCUCCUCCGGUUCCUAGCACAGCAUGUAAACUUAGGAUCAUAUUUAACCAUAUUUAAACCACCAAUCGCCUCGUCCUCACUCAACCCUCCUCCGUCAACCAGUUACCAAGUUCUGUCCUCCUUCCACGAAAUCUCCUUGCAAACUGUCUCCUGGCCUUGGUUCCCACCACCAAAACCCUGAUCUGAUGCAGACUCUCUUCAUUACUCAACCAAAUUAGAGACAUAACUUCCAAACGAGUCAUUCUCCAGAGAAAGACAUACAUCUAACUGUGUCUCCCUUGGCUUAAAAAUCCUGCACGGCUUCCAGAGGUCUGUCAGCCUAUGUCCUGCGCUUGGCCUUCAGGUGCCCUUCAUAAACUGAGCCCCGCCUACCUUCCAGAGUCCCACCCCUCCCCCACCAUACCACCAGCCUCCCUGGGUGGGGGUGUGCACACCUCCAUCCCUUUGCUGUUCUCUGUCGGAAGUGCUCUUCCCAACCAAAACCGUUAGGGAAAGUCCCACAUGUCCCUUAAGGGGCCAAAGUGAACUCAUUGUUCUCUUCUCCCUCUUCUUUUUUCCUCUCAGUACUGGGGAUUGAACCCCCGGGGUACUGAUGGGGUUUCAUUAAGUCACCAAGCCUGGCCUCAAAUUUGCAAUCUUCCUGCCUCCUCCUUCCAGGUAGCUGGGGUUACAGGUACGUGCCAACUGUACCCCAUCCUUACUGGCUCUAAGAUGCUUAUUCUUAAUUCUUCCCUUUGUUUUAUUUGGGCUUUAUAUAACACUGCUAGUUUACCAAAUGUCACGUUGACCCAUAAUUAUAUGCUUAAAUCUGUCCUUCCCCUUAGAAUCUGAGGACUUCAUGGGCAGGUUAAUGGAGUAGACCUUGCUGGUCGACUAUCAAAUAUCCAUUCUCUCCUUUCAGCUUCCUAAGAGAAGCCAAGGAAACACAAGGCACAGGGUAUAAUUAAAUGUACCAGCUAAACUGUUAUAGCAAGCAGAUUCAGGAUACAGAGGCUUAUGCAAGCCUAUGGGCCUUAGUGGGACCUGACCCCUUCUUAGGCCCCAAGGAUGGGCCCACCACCCUUCCCAAGAAUUGAUUCUGGUCCUAAAUUAGUCAGUGUGAAGCAAAGAUGUUCCUGGUUCACUAAUAUCCACUCUCCUUUAAGAAUGGAACUGAUUUUCCACUGAGCCAAUGGCUGCCUCCCUGAAGACUACAUUUCCCAGCCUGCUUUGUGGCCAUGUGUCCAAGUUCUCACCAAUAGACCAUGAGCAGAAAUGACUGUACCAUUUCCAAGCUGUGCCCUGAAAGGAAUGUGCAUGUGCUUCCCCAACCCUUCUCCUGUCCUUUUCCCUCUGGCUUGGAGAUGAUAGAAAUUGAAGCAGUCUCCUUGCAUCUAGAGAAGAAAAACAUGUGAAGGAUGGCCAAGCCUUCCCAGCAGUCUCGGACUGCUUUCCUCUUAUGUGAAAGAGACAUAAAUUUCUUUCUUUCUUUCUUUCUUUUUAAACACAUAUAUUUUCAGCUUUUACCUUUAUUUAUUUAUUUUUUUUUUGGUACCUGGGAUUGAACCCAAGGACACUCAAACACUGAGCCAUAUCCCCAUCCCUUUUUAUAUUUUAUUUUGAGCCAGGGUCUCAUUUAGUUGUUUAGGACUUCACUAAGUUGCUGAGGCUGGCCUUGAACUUUUGAUCCUUCUGCCUCAGCCUCCAGAGCCGCUGGGAUUAUAGGCACGCAUCACUAUGUCCAGUGAGACAUAAAUUUCUAUUAUUUACAAUUCAGUAUUACAGCAACUUCUCCCACACUCUACAAAAUGCAUAGGGCCUGGCCUUUCCAGGUCUCAGGAAUUGUUUCAGGACUGAGCAUGUGACCUGCUUAGGGCAAAAGAUAGAAGGAAAGUUGGAUGAGAGAUUUCCCGAAAAAGUGCUCCUGUUUUCAUAAGAGAGUGUCGUGGAAUAACCUCUUUUUUUGUCCUUCUGAACACUGCUGAGCUGCAGACCCCUUGCUACCAGCCUAGGGAGGCUAUGCAUAGAGAAGAGCAGGGUCAAGAGAACCACCCAGAAAGGAAUCAGUUUCUAGACAGACCAAUUUAGAAGCUCACAGCAGUCAUCUGCUUGGGCUGCUGUGACAAAAUUCCACCAAAGUUCAAGAUCAGGGUGUCAUCAGAAACAGUUCCUGGUGAGGCCUCGCUUCCUGGCUGGUACAUGGCAGCCAUCUUUCUCACUGUGGCCUCACAUGAUCUCUUCUCUGUGUGUGCAUGCAGAAGGAGAUCUCUGGAGUCUUAUCCCCUUCUUAUAAGGACACCGGUCCUAUCUGAUUAGGACUUCACCUUUAUGACCUCAUUUAACCUUAAUCACCUCCUUAAAGGGCCCUUUCUCCAGCUAUAGUCACACUGGGGAUUAGGGCUUCAAUAUAAAAGAAAAAAAGUGGAGGAUAAUAAUUCAGUCCAUAAAAUCCACCCUACCUCUUAUCUUCCAGCUAAGUGAGCCAAUGGACAUCCUUUGGUUGAAGCCAGUUUGGGUUGGAUUUUUGUUUCUGUUGUUUGGUUACUUUACAGGGUUUUACUCUGCUUCACAGCCCUGUGUGCCUAGCACAGAGCCCAAGUCACAGCUGUCAAUAACUGUAGAGGGAACACACAUUUGCCAAUGUUCUUGUACUUGCAAUGACAACCUCUCAGAUGAGCUGCAAGCCUUCCUUUUUCCGUCUGCCCAACUUGAACUUCUAACGCCAUCGCAUGGAAUUCAUCUUCAGAAAAUUCUCAGGCUCACCCCCCCAGCUUCCUACACAUUUUGUGAGUCAGCUCUCCAUCAUGGUGAGAAAAUUUCCUGAGAGGAAAGGUUUAUUUGGGUUCGUGAUUUCAGGGGUUUCGGUCCACGGUCACUUGGCCCUCUUGCUUUGGGCUGGUGGCAACCCAGCACAUCGUGGUGGGAGUGUGUGAGGAGGAGAUCUGUUCACUUUGCAGCAGCCAGGAAGCAAGCACAGAUUGGGAGUGGGUGGAUCCUAGUAUGUCCUUCAAGGGCACACCCCCAGUGACCUAACCUCCCCACUCCAGGCCCUAACUCCUAAAGGGUCUACCACAUCCUGAUAGUGCUACAGGUGGGGGACCAAGCCUUUAACACUUGGCCUUUGGAGGCCUCUUAUCCAAACCAUAGCAUUCAGGGAACUGAGGCUUCAGCUAUAAAAUAAGGGGAUUGGUCUGGACACAGUCUGGCACACCUUCCAGCAAGAACAGCUAGGACCACCCAACUCCAAAUCCCAUGGCUCCAUCUGAGGCCUCUUCCAAAGAAGCCCAUCUGCCAUUCAGAGUGAAGACCCCUCUAGAGCUAACCAUGCACAGCCUCAUGGGAGAUCCCCCUGGGCUCCUCUUCUAAGUCCUGUGGCUCUGCAAAAUCCCAAGAUUCUAUACUACUAUGCUACAUGAAAGGCUUUUUCUUGCGGCGGGGGUGGGGGGGUCUACUAGAUCUCCUGCUUUAAGCACAGAGGAGAAAACCCUAAGGAGAGCCUACACUGUCAUGCUGUUGUUCUUCCAGAUAAGACCAGAGGCUGGCCCUGCUGGGAAACAGACAUACAGGGCCACUGUAAGGCUCAGACAUCAGUCAGAGCCUACAUCUGGGACACUCAGAUUUCUGGUGCCCAGUGCUCAGCCAUUCAGACUGCCAUCACUAGGGACCAAGAUGGUGGCAUGCCAGUUCCACACACAAUAUUUCCUUCUUCUAUCCAUAAGGGCUCCACUUCCCUGCUCCCUUGUGCAGCCUGGGGAAGCAUAGGAGGAAAGUCUGCCUCAUCUUUUGAAUGUGAAAGAAUUAGCUCUCAAGGAGGCCACUAGUAAGUGGAUGAGUUGCUCAGCCAG
rnacentral:lncRNA from 1 species